rnacentral:rRNA from 1 species
GACGAACGCUGGCGGCGUGCUUAACACAUGCAAGUCGAACGGAAAGGCCCUGCUUUUGUGGGGUGCUCGAGUGGCGAACGGGUGAGUAACACGUGAGUAACCUGCCCUUGACUUUGGGAUAACUUCAGGAAACUGGGGCUAAUGCCGGAUAGGAGCUCCUGCUGCAUGGUGGGGGUUGGAAAGUUUCGGCGGUUGGGGAUGGACUCGCGGCUUAUCAGCUUGUUGGUGGGGUAGUGGCUUACCAAGGCUUUGACGGGUAGCCGGCCUGAGAGGGUGACCGGCCACAUUGGGACUGAGAUACGGCCCAGACUCCUACGGGAGGCAGCAGUGGGGAAUAUUGCACAAUGGGCGGAAGCCUGAUGCAGCAACGCCGCGUGCGGGAUGACGGCCUUCGGGUUGUAAACCGCUUUCGCCUGUGACGGAGCGUGAGUGACGGUAAUGGGUAAAGAAGCACCGGCUAACUACGUG